rnacentral:lncRNA from 1 species
AGGCGAGGAAGUGGUCAACAAUAAUUCCAUAACCGGCACGCGCAUCUAAGGCGCCAAAAGGGGUCGGAGCGUCUGAGCGGGGCGACAAUACGCGCGCUAGCUUAUAACUAAAAGUCGUAAGCGACAAAAUGGUUUUGUAAUUUUAUUAUUUAGAAAUGAUAAUUUGAUAAAAAAUCCUACUACAAUUUUAAAGAGUAUGUAUAUACUCAACUACUAAAAAAGUUAAGAGGCUUUAAUCGGUCCCGUUUGCCCAUAAUAUGUGAAUCUCUUUUUAAAAAGAGGUAUGUUUGAUAUAUUUUUCUCUGUUAUAAAAGUUACCUAAUCAUGUUUCUACAACUAACAAAAUAAGGUUUAUAUCAUGAACUUUCAGGUAACCAAGUUGUAUUUUGAUCCGUUUUGUAUUUACUGAGAAAAAUUGAAAUCCUUGGCGCCAAAAAUUCCAAUUCGUCCUCUUAA